CAGUAGCCACGGUAAUACGUAGGUGGCAAGCGUUGUCCGGAAUUAUUGGGCGUAAAGGGCUCGCAGGCGGUUUCUUAAGUCUGAUGUGAAAGCCCCCGGCUCAACCGGGGAGGUCAUUGGAAACUGGGAAACUUGAGUGCAGAAGAGGAGAGUGGAAUUCCACGUGUAGCGGUGAAAUGCGUAGAGAUGUGGAGGAACACCAGUGGCGAAGGCGACUCUCUGGUCUGUAACUGACGCUGAGGAGCGAAAGCGUGGGGAGCGAACAGGAUUAGAUACCCCUGUAGUCCCUGUCUCUUAUACC
rnacentral:rRNA from 1 species